rnacentral:rRNA from 1 species
UAAAAUACUCUAAAUACCACAGAAACACCUGAUCCUGUCUGAUCUUAGAAGCAAAGCAGGAUCAGGCUUGAUUAGUACUUGGAAGAGAGACUGCCUGGAAACACCAGGUGCUAAGCUAC